rnacentral:tRNA from 1 species
GGUUCCAUAUUGUUGUGGUUGGCACGUCUGCUUUAUACACAGAAGGUCCUGGGUUCACUCCCCACUGGAGCCA